rnacentral:rRNA from 1 species
UACGUAGGGUGCGAGCGUUGUCCGGAAUUAUUGGGCGUAAAGGGCUCGUAGGCGGUUUGUCGCGUCGGGAGUGAAAACCUUGGGCUUAACUCAGGGCUUGCUUUCGAUACGGGCAGACUAGAGGUAUGCAGGGGAGAACGGAAUUCCUGGUGUAGCGGUGAAAUGCGCAGAUAUCAGGAGGAAUACCCAUGGCGAAGGCAGUUCACUGGGCAUUAUCUGACGCUGAGGCGCGAAAGCGUGGGUAGCAAACAGG